rnacentral:rRNA from 1 species
CGACUUAACUGAACCUUCGGGGAACGUUAAGGGCGUCGAGCGGCGGACGGGUGAGUAAUGCCUAGGAAAUUGCCCUGAUGUGGGGGAUAACCAUUGGAAACGAUGGCUAAUACCGCAUAAUGCCUACGGGCCAAAGAGGGGGACCUUCGGGCCUCUCGCGUCAGGAUAUGCCUAGGUGGGAUUAGCUAGUUGGUGAGGUAAUGGCUCACCAAGGCGACGAUCCCUAGCUGGUCUGAGAGGAUGAUCAGCCACACUGGAACUGAGACACGGUCCAGACUCCUACGGGAGGCAGCAGUGGGGAAUAUUGCACAAUGGGCGCAAGCCUGAUGCAGCCAUGCCGCGUGUGUGAAGAAGGCCUUCGGGUUGUAAAGCACUUUCAGUCGUGAGGAAGGUGGUAUUGUUAAUAGCACUAUCAUUUGACGUUAGCGACAGAAGAAGCACCGGCUAACUCCGUGCCAGCAGCCGCGGUAAUACGGAGGGUGCGAGCGUUAAUCGGAAUUACUGGGCGUAAAGCGCAUGCAGGUGGUUUGUUAAGUCAGAUGUGAAAGCCCGGGGCUCAACCUCGGAAUAGCAUUUGAAACUGGCAGACUAGAGUACUGUAGAGGGGGGUAGAAUUUCAGGUGUAGCGGUGAAAUGCGUAGAGAUCUGAAGGAAUACCGGUGGCGAAGGCGGCCCCCUGGACAGAUACUGACACUCAGAUGCGAAAGCGUGGGGAGCAAACAGGAUUAGAUACCCUGGUAGUCCACGCCGUAAACGAUGUCUACUUGGAGGUUGUGGCCUUGAGCCGUGGCUUUCGGAGCUAACGCGUUAAGUAGACCGCCUGGGGAGUACGGUCGCAAGAUUAAAACUCAAAUGAAUUGACGGGGGCCCGCACAAGCGGUGGAGCAUGUGGUUUAAUUCGAUGCAACGCGAAGAACCUUACCUACUCUUGACAUCCAGAGAACUUUUC